rnacentral:rRNA from 1 species
UAAGGAAUAUUGGUCAAUGGAGGCAACUCUGAACCAGCCAUGCCGCGUGAAGGAUGAAGGCCCUCUGGGUUGUAAACUUCUUUUGUAAGGGAAGAAAUACAGACAUUCUUGUUUGUUUGACGGUACCUUAAGAAUAAGCACCGGCUAACUCCGUGCCAGCAGCCGCGGUAAUACGGAGGGUGCAAGCGUUAUCCGGAUUCACUGGGUUUAAAGGGUGCGUAGGCGGGCAGGUAAGUCAGUGGUGAAAUCUUCGAGCUUAACUCGGAAACUGCCGUUGAUACUAUCUGUCUUGAAUACCCGGGAGGUGAGCGGAAUAUGUCAUGUAGCGGUGAAAUGCUUAGAUAUGACAUAGAACACCAAUUGCGAAGGCAGCUCACUACAGGGUCAUUGACGCUGAGGCACGAAAGCGUGGGGAUCAAACAGG